GGGAAUGUGGCUUAGUGGUAGAGUGCUUGCCUCAUAUGCAUACAGCCCUGGGUUCAAUCCCUCAGUACCA
rnacentral:tRNA from 1 species